rnacentral:rRNA from 1 species
AUUGAACGCUGGCGGCAUGCUUUACACAUGCAAGUCGAACGGUAACAGGCCGCAAGGUGCUGACGAGUGGCGAACGGGUGAGUAAUGCAUCGGAACGUGCCCAGUCGUGGGGGAUAACUACUCGAAAGAGUAGCUAAUACCGCAUACGAUCUAUGGAUGAAAGCGGGGGACCGUAAGGCCUCGCGCGAUUGGAGCGGCCGAUGUCAGAUUAGGUAGUUGGUGGGGUAAAGGCUCACCAAGCCAACGAUCUGUAGCUGGUCUGAGAGGACGACCAGCCACACUGGGACUGAGACACGGCCCAGACUCCUACGGGAGGCAGCAGUGGGGAAUUUUGGACAAUGGGCGCAAGCCUGAUCCAGCAAUGCCGCGUGCAGGAAGAAGGCCUUCGGGUUGUAAACUGCUUUUGUACGGAACGAAACGGCUCUGGUUAAUACCCGGGGCUAAUGACGGUACCGUAAGAAUAAGCACCAGCUAACUACGU